AACGCACAUUGCGCCCCCUGGUAUUCCGGGGGGCAUGCCUGUUCGAGCGUCAUUACAACCCUCAAGCUCUGCUUGGUAUUGGGCCCCGCCGGUUCCGGCGGGCCCUAAAGUCAGUGGCGGUGCCAUCCGGCUCCGAGCGUAGUAAUUCUUCUCGCUCUGGAGACCCGGCUGUGUGCUUGCCAGCAACCCCCAAUUUUUUAAGGUUGACCUCGGAUCAGGUAGGGAUACCCGCUGAACUUAA
rnacentral:misc_RNA from 2 species